GGAGGAACUGGGAGGGGCUAUUUAUAGACCCAGGAAGACCGCGUUGUGCAGCUCAAGCUGUCAGAUAAGGAGGAGGGGGAAUUGAGGAGUUCGUGGGCGACUAAUGGCUGGCGGCUGCGCGGCGGUGCUGUGUGCAUGGGAGUGGCGGUCUGGUGUGCGUGGCAGGGUGGUGGAGAGGGGGUUUUGGGCAUGGAUAAGAGCAUGGGUAGAUGCGCGUGGAUGAGGUGGUCACAUGGGC
rnacentral:lncRNA from 1 species